GGUCAGAUGGCCGAGCGGUCUAAGGCGCUAGCUUCAGGAAGGUCUUCGGAUCGGAUUGACUUGCUAGUCAUGAAAAUGGCGUGGGUUCGAAUCCCACUCUGAUCA
rnacentral:tRNA from 2 species